GAUGAACGCUGGCGGCGUGCCUAAUACAUGCAAGUCGAGCGAACGGACGAGAAGCUUGCUUCUCUGAUGUUAGCGGCGGACGGGUGAGUAACACGUGGAUAACCUACCUAUAAGACUGGGAUAACUUCGGGAAACCGGAGCUAAUACCGGAUAAUAUUUUGAACCGCAUGGUUCAAAAGUGAAAGACGGUCUUGCUGUCACUUAUAGAUGGAUCCGCGCUGCAUUAGCUAGUUGGUAAGGUAACGGCUUACCAAGGCAACGAUGCAUAGCCGACCUGAGAGGGGGUUCGGCCACACUGGAACUGAGACACGGUCCAGACUCCGACGGGAGGCAGCAGUAGGGAAUCUUCCGAAAUGGGCGAAAGCCUGACGGAGUAACGCCGCGUGAGUGAUGAAGGUCUUCGGAUCGUAAAACUCUGUUAUUAGGGAAGAACAUAUGUGUAAGUAACUGUGCACAUCUUGACGGUACUUAAUCAGAAAGCCACGGCUAACUACGUG
rnacentral:rRNA from 1 species